GCGGCAGGCCUAAUACAUGCAAGUCGAGCGGGGUAGCAAUACCUAGCGGCGGACGGGUGCGUAACACGUACGUAACCUACCUUUGAAUGAGGGAUUCCGUUUCGAAAGGAACGUUAAUCCCGCAUGAUGCAGCGGGCUCACAUGAGCAUUAGUUGUUAAAGCCGCAAGGCGUUUGAAGAUGGGCGUGCGUCGGAUUAGUUAGUUGGCAGGGUAACGGCCUACCAAGACGAUGAUCCGUAACUGGUCUGAGAGGAUGAUCAGUCACACUGGCACUGAGACACGGGCCAGACUCCUACGGGAGGCAGCAGUAGGGAAUAUUGGGCAAUGGGCGAAAGCCUGACCCAGCCAUGCCGCGUGGGGGAUGAAGGUUCAUAGAAUCGUAAACUCCUUUUAUCCAAGACUAAGGGUCUUGUAACUCAAGGCUUUGAAUGUACUGGGUGAAUAAGGACCGGCUAACUACGUGCCAGCAGCCGCGGUAAUACGUAGGGUCCAAGCGUUGUCCGGAUUUACUGGGUUUAAAGGGUGCGUAGGCGGCUUUUUAAGUCGGCGAUGAAAUGCAGGGGCUCAACCUUUUGCGCUGUCGCCGAAACUGGAAGGCUAGAGAGUAGAAGAGGCAGCUGGAAUAAGUGGUGUAGCGGUGAAAUGCGUAGAGAUCACUUAGAACACCGAUUGCGAAGGCAGGUUGCUGGUCUACUUCUGACGCUGAGGCACGAAGGCAUGGGGAUCAAACAGGAUUAGAUACCCUGGUAGUCCAUGCAGUAAACGUUGGAUACUAGCUAUUUGGCACGCAGGUGUUGAGUGGCCAAGCGAAAGUGAUAAGUAUCCCACCUGGGGAGUACGCCCGCAAGGGUGAAACUCAAAGAAAUUGACGGGGGCCCGCACAAGCGGUGGAGCAUGUGGUUUAAUUCGAUGGUACGCGAGGAACCUUACCUGGGCUAGAAUGCUAGCGACGGACUCAGAAAUGGGUCUUCCCUUCGGGGCGCAAAGCAAGGUGCUGCAUGGCUGUCGUCAGCUCGUGCCGUGAGGUGUUGGGUUAAGUCCCGCAACGAGCGCAACCCCUGUGGUUAGUUGCCAGCGCGUUAUGGCGGGGACUCUAAUCAGACUGCUUUCGUAAGAUUGAGGAAGGGGGGGACGACGUCAAGUCAUCAUGGCCCUUACGUCCAGGGCUACACACGUGCUACAAUGGUCGGUACAGCGGGCAGCGAAGUCGCGAGGCGGAGCUAAUCUUGUAAAGCCGAUCUCAGUUCGGAUUGGAGUCUGCAACUCGACUCCAUGAAGUUGGAAUCGCUAGUAAUCGCGUAUCAGCAACGACGCGGUGAAUACGUUCCCGGGCCUUGUACACACCGCCCGUCAAGCCACGGAAGCUGAGGGCGCCUGAAGUCGGGGGAUCAAAUCCCUGCCGAGGGCGAAAUCGGUAACUGGGGCUAAGUCGUAACAAGGUA
rnacentral:rRNA from 1 species